ACGGAAGGCAGCAGUGGGGAAUAUUGGGCAAUGGGCGAAAGCCUGACCCAGCAACGCCGCGUGAAGGAAGAAGGUCUUCGGAUUGUAAACUUCUUUUAUGAGGGACGAAGGACGUGACGGUACCUCACGAAUAAGCCACGGCUAACUACGUGCCAGCAGCCGCGGUAAUACGUAGGUGGCAAGCGUUAUCCGGAUUUACUGGGUGUAAAGGGCGCGUAGGCGGGAGAGCAAGUCAGAUGUGAAAUCCAUGGGCUUAACCCAUGAACUGCAUUUGAAACUGUUCUUCUUGAGUGCUGGAGAGGUAGACGGAAUUCCUUGUGUAGCGGUGAAAUGCGUAGAUAUAAGGAAGAACACCAGUGGCGAAGGCGGUCUACUGGACAGUAACUGACGCUGAGGCGCGAAAGCGUGGGGAGCAAACAGGAUUAGAUACCCUGGUA
rnacentral:rRNA from 1 species